rnacentral:piRNA from 1 species
UCCCCGGACUUGGAGACUCGGCUCUCCUGA